CAAUGGCCGAAAGGCUGACGGAGCAAUGCCGCGUGCCGGAGGAAGCCCUUCGGGGUGUAAACGGCUUUUGCCGGGGAACAAGCCCCGCCCCUUUUCUGACAAGUAUUAUUACUAAUCAAUGGCCAUAAGGCGAAGCCGCCUUACGGCUAUAAUUUUGAUAUUGGUUAUAAAAUUGGUUGAAAAAGGGCGGGGUUGAGCGUACCCGGCGAAUAAGGGGCUGCUAACUUCGUGCCAGCAGCAGCGGUAAUACGAAGGCCCCAAGCGUUAUCCGGAUUUAUUGUGCGUAAAGCGUCCGCAGGUGGUUUUAAUAGUCAGGUGUUAAAUCCUCAAGCUUAACUUGAGGCCUGCACCCGAAACGUUAAAACUAGAGGGCAGGAGAGGCUGAUGGAA
rnacentral:rRNA from 1 species